GGAGGGUGCAAGCGUUAAUCGGAAUUACAGGGCGUAAAGGGUGCGUAGGUUGUUAAUUAAGUUAUCUGUGAAAGCCCCCGGGGCUUAACCUGGGGAUUGUCAGAUAAAACUGAUUGACUAGAGUAUGGCAGAGGGUAGUGGAAUUUCCGGUGUAGCGGUGAAAUGCGUAGAUAUCGGAAGGAACACCGGUGGCGAAGGCGACUACCUGGGCUGAUACUGACACUGAGGCACGAAAGCGUGGGUAGCGAACAGGAUUAGAUACCCUGGUAGUCCACGCUGUAAACGAUGUCAACUAGCCGUUGGGCACAUGAAUGUGUUAAGUGGCGCAGCUAACGCGAUAAGUUGACCGCCUGGGGAGUACGGUCGCAAGAUUA
rnacentral:rRNA from 1 species